rnacentral:rRNA from 2 species
UGGGCCUAAAGCAUCCGUAGCCGGUUGUUUAAGUCUUCGGUUAAAUCCAUGCGCUUAACGUAUGGGCCGCCGAGGAUACUGGACAGCUAGGGAGUGGGAGAGGUACACGGUACUCAGUAGGAAGGGGUAAAAUCCUUUGAUCUAUUGAUGACCACCUGUGGCGAAGGCGGUGUACCAGAACACGUUCGACGGUGAGGGAUGAAAGCUGGGGGAGCAAACCGGAUUAGAUACCCGGGUAGUCCCAGCUGUAAACGAUGCAGACUCGGUGAUGCAUUGGCUUGUGGCCAAUGCAGUGCCGCAGGGAAGCCGUUAAGUCUGCCGCCUGGGAAGUACGUACGCAAGUAUGAAACUUAAAGGAAUUGGCGGGGGAGCACAA